GGGAGGCAGCAGUGGGGAAUAUUGGUCAAUGGACGAAAGUCUGAACCAGCCAUGCCGCGUGAAGGAUGAAGGCCCUCUGGGUUGUAAACUUCUUUUAUCUGGGACGAAAAAAGGGCUUUCUAGCUCACUUGACGGUACCAGAGGAAUAAGCACCGGCUAACUCCGUGCCAGCAGCCGCGGUAAUACGGAGGGUGCAAGCGUUAUCCGGAUUUACUGGGUUUAAAGGGAGCGUAGGUGGGUUGGUAAGUCAGUGGUGAAAUCUUCGAGCUUAACUCGGAAACUGCCAUUGAUACUAUCAAUCUUGAAUUAUCUGGAGGUAAGCGGAAUAUGUCAUGUAGCGGUGAAAUGCUUAGAUAUGACAUAGAACACCAAUUGCGAAGGCAGCUUACUACGGAUACAUUGACACUGAGGCUCGAAAGCGUGGGGAUCAAACAGGAUUAGAUACCCUGGUAGUCC
rnacentral:rRNA from 1 species